rnacentral:rRNA from 1 species
UUAGGAAUCUUGCGCAAUGGGGGAAACCCUGACGCAGCAACGCCGCGUGAAGGACGAAGGCCUUCGGGUUGUAAACUUCUUUUAGCAGGAAAGAACACAAUGACGGUACCUGCAGAAAAAGCACCGGCUAACUCUGUGCCAGCAGCCGCGGUAAUACAGAGGGUGCAAGCGUUAUUCGGAUUUACUGGGCAUAAAGAGCGCGUAGGCGGUUUAAUAAGUCUGAUGUGAAAUCCCUGGACCCAAUCCAGGAAGUGCAUCGGAUACUGUUAGACUCGAGUACAGGAGGGGAGAGCGGAAUUCCAGGUGUAGAGGUGAAAUUCGUAGAUAUCUGGAGGAACAACAGUGGCGAAGGCGGCUCUCUGGACUGUUACUGACGCUGAGGCGCGAAAGCGUGGGGAGCAAACAGG